rnacentral:rRNA from 1 species
UACGUAGGGUGCAAGCGUUGUCCGGAAUUAUUGGGCGUAAAGAGCUCGUAGGCGGUUUGUUACGUCGGCUGUGAAAACCUAGGGCUCAACUCUGGGCUUGCAGCCGAUACGGGCAAACUAGAAUUCGGUAGGGGAGACUGGAAUUCCUGGUGUAGCGGUGAAAUGCGCAGAUAUCAGGAGGAACACCGGUGGCGAAGGCGGGUCUCUGGGCCGAUAUUGACGCUGAGGAGCGAAAGCGUGGGGAGCGAACAGG